GAUGAACGCUGGCGGCGUGCCUAAUACAUGCAAGUCGAGCGAACAGACGAGGAGCUUGCUCCUCUGACGUUAGCGGCGGACGGGUGAGUAGCACGUGGAUAACCUACCUAUAAGACUGGGAUAACUUCGGGAAACCGGAGCUAAUACCGGAUAAUAUAUUGAACCGCAUGGUUCAAUAGUGAAAGACGGUUUUGCUGUCACUUAUAGAUGGAUCCGCGCCGCAUUAGCUAGUUGGUAAGGUAACGGCUUACCAAGGCAACGAUGCGUAGCCGACCUGAGAGGGUGAUCGGCCACACUGGAACUGAGACACGGUCCAGACUCCUACGGGAGGCAGCAGUAGGGAAUCUUCCGCAAUGGGCGAAAGCCUGACGGAGCAACGCCGCGUGAAUGAUGAAGGUCUUCGGAUCGUAAAACUCUGUUAUUAGGGAAGAACAAAUGUGUAAGUAACUAUGCACGUCUUGACGGUACCUAAUCAGAAAGCCACGGCUAACUACGUG
rnacentral:rRNA from 1 species